GCAGCAGUGGUCAAGUGGUAAGACAGCGGCUAUAAAGAGUGUGUGUUGUAUGGCACACGAACAGCAAUUUCAAAAAGGCAAGCCGCCAUCGUAGGUUCGAUUCCUGCCUGCUGCA
rnacentral:tRNA from 1 species